AGUUUGUUAUAGGACAAUGAAGUUUAUGGCCCUUAAUUUCUCAUCUACAAUCAUUACCCUUUUCACAUUUUCAGUAUUUCAAAUUUUUCAAUGACUUGCUACUCUUACUAUAAAUAUAUAGAAUCUUGAAGUGUAUAAUUAAUUCAAGAAACUAUAUAGAUACAUAGAAUCUUGAAAAAUUUUUUUUAUAAAGUUUAGUGAUCAAUAAACAUUUUGAAAGGAAGAUAUAUAGAAUGUUGGAAGGGAAAGCAUAUGUUAAGGAUACAGAUAUGCCAUUGAAGAUGCAAGUUCAUGCAAUGGAUUCUGCAUCUCAUGCUCUUGAUGUUUAUGAUGUUAUUGACUGCACUUCCAUUGCUGCACAUAUCAAGAAGGAAUUUGAUAAGGUUUAUGGUGGUGGAUGGCAAUGUGUAGUGGGCUCAAAUUUUAGUAGCUUCUUUACUCACUCAAAAGGCUCUUUCAUCUAUUUCUCAUUGGAGACUCUCAGUUUCCUCAUCUUUAAAGGUUUGGUGGUGUGUGAAAAUGAAAAGUGAGCAAACUAGAUCCACACAAGAAGAACAAAAGGGCAAGUGAAUCUUGACUUUAUAUAUGUGCCCAUGAAUCAUGAAAUGAUGGUAAGUUUGCAGGUGAAGUAACACAUUUGUUGAAGAAGAAACAAAGAUUUUAAGCAAAAGUAGGAAAACGAAUGGUUUUUAUUUUAAUAUUUUUGUUGGUUGAAAAAUAAGUAAUAGUAAUGUGAAUGGCUAUGGAUAGCAAUAAUUGGGAGUUUAAGGAAAUCGGUGAUAUAUGUUUGAUAUCAACAUUGUCAUGAAUUCAGAUCCCUUUUUUAUUUUUUGGGUAUCCCAAGAAGAAAGAAAAAUAUACUUCCUUGAA